UGGCCUCAAAUCAGGUAGGACUACCCGCUGAACUUAAGCAUAUCAAUAAGCGGAGGAAAAGAAACUAACAAGGAUUCCCCUAGUAACUGCGAGUGAAGCGGGAAAAGCUCAAAUUUAAAAUCUGGCAGUCUCUGAUUGUCCGAGUUGUAAUCUAGAGAAGUGUUACCCGCGUUGGACCGUGUAUAAGUCUCCUGGAAUGGAGCGUCAUAGAGGGUGAGAAUCCCGUCUUUAACACGGACUACCAAGGCUUUGUGGUGCGCUCUCAAAGAGUCGAGUUGUUUGGGAAUGCAGCUCAAAUGGGUGGUAAAUGCCAUCUAAAGCUAAAUACAGGCGAGAGACCGAUAGCGAACAAGUACCGUGAGGGAAAGAUGAAAAGAACUUUGGAAAGAGAGUUAAACAGUACGUGAAAUUGCUGAAAGGGAAACGCUUGAAGUCAGUCGCGUUGGCUGGGAAUCAACCUUGCUUUUGCUUUGGUGUACUUUCCAGUCGACGGGUCAACAUCAAUUUUGAUCGGUGGAUAAGUCGUGAGGAAUGUGGCAUCUUCGGAUGUGUUAUAGCCUUGUGUCAUAUACAUUGAUUGGGAUUGAGGAACUCAGCACGCCGAAAGGCCAGGUUUCGACCAUGUUCGUGCU
rnacentral:rRNA from 1 species